rnacentral:rRNA from 1 species
UACAACUCUGAGCGGUGGAUCACUCGGCUCGUGUGUCGAUGAAGAGUGCAGCCAACUGUGUGAAUUAAUGUGACCUGCAUACUGCUUUGAACAUCGACCUCUUGAACGCAUA